rnacentral:tRNA from 1 species
GCCCAGGUGCUGAAAUUGGUAGACAGGCAUGGUUGAGGGCCAUGUGCUCUUUAUGAGCGUGCGGGUUCGACUCCCGCUCUGGGCA